rnacentral:rRNA from 1 species
AGGACGAACGCUGGCGGCGUGCUUAACACAUGCAAGUCGAGCGGAAAGGCCCUUCGGGGUACUCGAGCGGCGAACGGGUGAGUAACACGUGAGCAACCUGCCCUUAGCUCUGGGAUAGCUCCGGGAAACCGGAAUUAAUACCGGAUACGACCUAGGCCGACAUCGGCCAUGGUGGAAAGUUUUUCGGCUAGGGAUGGACUCGCGGCUUAUCAGCUAGUUGGUGGGGUAAAGGCCUACCAAGGCGACGACGGGUAG